rnacentral:rRNA from 1 species
UACGUAGGGUGCAAGCGUUAAUCGGAAUUACUGGGCGUAAAGCGUGCGCAGGCGGUUCGGAAAGAAAGAUGUGAAAUCCCAGGGCUUAACCUUGGAACUGCAUUUUUAACUACCGGGCUAGAGUGUGUCAGAGGGGGGUGGAAUUCCACGUGUAGCAGUGAAAUGCGUAGAGAUGUGGAGGAACACCGAUGGCGAAGGCAGCCCCCUGGGAUAACACUGACGCUCAUGCACGAAAGCGUGGGGAGCAAACAGG